rnacentral:rRNA from 1 species
UUUGGUUAAGUUAGAAAGGGCGCACGGUGGAUGCCUUGACACUAGGAGUCGAUGAAGGACGGGACUAACGCCGAUAUGCUUCGGGGAGCUGUAAGUAAGCUUUGAUCCGAAGAUUUCCGAAUGGGGAAACCCACCAUACGUAAUGGUAUGGUAUCCUUAUCUGAAUACAUAGGGUAAGGAAGACAGACCCAGGGAACUGAAACAUCUAAGUACCUGGAGGAAGAGAAAGCAAAUGCGAUUUCCUGAGUAGCGGCGAGCGAAACGGAACAUAGCCCAAACCAAGAGGCUUGCCUCUUGGGGUUGUAGGACAUUCUAUACGGAGUUACAAAGGAACGAGGUAGACGAAGCGACCUGGAAAGGUCCGUCGUAGAGGGUAACAACCCCGUAGUCGAAACUUCGUUCUCUCUUGAAUGUAUCCUGAGUACGGCGGAACACGUGAAAUUCCGUCGGAAUCUGGGAGGACCAUCUCCCAAGGCUAAAUACUCCCUAGUGAUCGAUAGUGAACCAGUACCGUGAGGGAAAGGUGAAAAGCACCCCGGAAGGGGAGUGAAAGAGAUCCUGAAACCGUGUGCCUACAAAUAGUCAGAGCCCGUUAACGGGUGAUGGCGUGCCUUUUGUAGAAUGAACCGGCGAGUUACGAUCCCGUGCGAGGUUAAGCUGAAGAGGCGGAGCCGCAGCGAAAGCGAGUCUGAAUAGGGCGUUUAGUACGUGGUCGUAGACCCGAAACCAGGUGAUCUACCCAUGUCCAGGGUGAAGUUCAGGUAACACUGAAUGGAGGCCCGAACCCACGCACGUUGAAAAGUGCGGGGAUGAGGUGUGGGUAGCGGAGAAAUUCCAAUCGAACCUGGAGAUAGCUGGUUCUCCCCGAAAUAGCUUUAGGGCUAGCCUUAAGUGUAAGAGUCUUGGAGGUAGAGCACUGAUUGGACUAGGGGUCCUCAUCGGAUUACCGAAUUCAGUCAAACUCCGAAUGCCAAUGACUUAUCCUUAGGAGUCAGACUGCGAGUGAUAAGAUCCGUAGUCAAAAGGGAAACAGCCCAGACCGCCAGCUAAGGUCCCAAAGUGUGUAUUAAGUGGAAAAGGAUGUGGAGUUGCUUAGACAACUAGGAUGUUGGCUUAGAAGCAGCCACCAUUUAAAGAGUGCGUAAUAGCUCACUAGUCGAGUGACUCUGCGCCGAAAAUGUACCGGGGCUAAAUACACCACCGAAGCUGCGGAUUGAUACCAAUGGUAUCAGUGGUAGGGGAGCGUUCUAAGGACAGUGAAGUCAGACCGGAAGGACUGGUGGAGUGCUUAGAAGUGAGAAUGCCGGUAUGAGUAGCGAAAGACGGGUGAGAAUCCCGUCCACCGAAUGCCUAAGGUUUCCUGAGGAAGGCUCGUCCGCUCAGGGUUAGUCAGGACCUAAGCCGAGGCCGACAGGCGUAGGCGAUGGACAACAGGUUGAUAUUCCUGUACCACCUCUUUAUCGUUUGAGCAAUGGAGGGACGCAGAAGGAUAGAAGAAGCGUGCGAUUGGUUGUGCACGUCCAAGCAGUUAGGCUGAUAAGUAGGCAAAUCCGCUUAUCGUAAAGGCUGAGCUGUGAUGGGGAAGCUCCUUAUGGAGCGAAGUCUUUGAUUCCCCGCUGCCAAGAAAAGCUUCUAGCGAGAUAAAAGGUGCCUGUACCGCAAACCGACACAGGUAGGCGAGGAGAGAAUCCUAAGGUGUGCGAGAGAACUCUGGUUAAGGAACUCGGCAAAAUGACCCCGUAACUUCGGGAGAAGGGGUGCUUUCUUAACGGAAAGCCGCAGUGAAUAGGCCCAAGCGACUGUUUAGCAAAAACACAGCUCUCUGCGAAGCCGUAAGGCGAAGUAUAGGGGGUGACACCUGCCCGGUGCUGGAAGGUUAAGGAGAGGGGUUAGCGUAAGCGAAGCUCUGAACUGAAGCCCCAGUAAACGGCGGCCGUAACUAUAACGGUCCUAAGGUAGCGAAAUUCCUUGUCGGGUAAGUUCCGACCCGCACGAAAGGUGUAACGAUUUGGGCACUGUCUCAACCAGAGACUCGGUGAAAUUAUAGUACCUGUGAAGAUGCAGGUUACCCGCGACAGGACGGAAAGACCCCGUGGAGCUUUACUGUAGCCUGAUAUUGAAUUUUGGUACAGUUUGUACAGGAUAGGCGGGAGCCUUUGAAACCGGAGCGCUAGCUUCGGUGGAGGCGCUGGUGGGAUACCGCCCUGACUGUAUUGAAAUUCUAACCUACGGGUCUUAUCGACCCGGGAGACAGUGUCAGGUGGGCAGUUUGACUGGGGCGGUCGCCUCCUAAAGUGUAACGGAGGCGCCCAAAGGUUCCCUCAGAAUGGUUGGAAAUCAUUCGUAGAGUGCAAAGGCAUAAGGGAGCUUGACUGCGAGACCUACAAGUCGAGCAGGGACGAAAGUCGGGCUUAGUGAUCCGGUGGUUCCGCAUGGAAGGGCCAUCGCUCAACGGAUAAAAGCUACCCCGGGGAUAACAGGCUUAUCUCCCCCAAGAGUCCACAUCGACGGGAGGUUUGGCACCUCGAUGUCGGCUCAUCGCAUCCUGGGGCUGUAGUCGGUCCCAAGGGUUGGGCUGUUCGCCCAUUAAAGCGGUACGCGAGCUGGGUUCAGAACGUCGUGAGACAGUUCGGUCCCUAUCCGUCGUGGGCGUAGGAAAUUUGAGAGGAGCUGUCCUUAGUACGAGAGGACCGGGAUGGACGCACCGCUGGUGUACCAGUUGUUCUGCCAAGGGCAUAGCUGGGUAGCUAUGUGCGGAAGGGAUAAGUGCUGAAAGCAUCUAAGCAUGAAGCCCCCCUCAAGAUGAGAUUUCCCAUAGCGUAAGCUAGUAAGAUCCCUGAAAGAUGAUCAGGUUGAUAGGUUCGAGGUGGAAGCAUGGUGACAUGUGGAGCUGACGAAUACUAAUAGAUCGAGGACUUAACCAUAUAA